rnacentral:snoRNA from 1 species
UUGCUGUGAUGACUGAUCUUAGGACACCUUUGGAACACCCAUGAAAAAAACCCAUGCGGUUAUUUCUGAGCAAC